rnacentral:rRNA from 1 species
GACGAACGCUGGCGGCGUGCUUAACACAUGCAAGUCGAGCGGUAAGGCCCUUUCGGGGGUACGACGAGCGGCGAACGGGUGAGUAACACGUGGGUGACCUGCCCUCAGCUCUGGGAUAAGCCUGGGAAACCGGGUCUAAUACCGGAUAUGACUCCAUGACGCAUGUUGUGGGGUGGAAAGCCUUGUGCGGCUGAGGAUGGGCCCGCGGCCUAUCAGCUUGUUGGUGGGGUGAUGGCCUACCAAGGCGACGACGGGUAGCCGGCCUGAGAGGGCGACCGGCCACACUGGGACUGAGACACGGCCCAGACUCCUACGGGAGGCAGCAGUGGGGAAUCUUGCGCAAUGGGCGAAAGCCUGACGCAGCGACGCCGCGUGAGGGAUGACGGCCUGU